rnacentral:rRNA from 1 species
UAGAGUUUGAUCCUGGCUCAGAGCGAACGCUGGCGGCAGGCUUAACACAUGCAAGUCGAACGGCUCUUUCGGGAGCAGUGGCGGACGGGUGAGUAACGCGUGGGAACGUGCCCUAAGGUUCGGAACAACACAGGGAAACUUGUGCUAAUACCGGAUGUGCCCGAGAGGGGAAAGAUUCAUCGCCUUAGGAGCGGCCCGCGUCUGAUUAGCUAGUUGGUGGGGUAAAGGCCCACCAAGGCUACGAUCAGUAGCUGGUCUGAGAGGAUGGCCAGCCACACUGGGACUGAGACACGGCCCAGACUCCUACGGGAGGCAGCAGUGGGGAAUCUUGCGCAAUGGGCGAAAGCCUGACGCAGCCAUGCCGCGUGGAUGAUGAAGGUCUUAGGAUUGUAAAAUCCUUUCAGCGGGGACGAUAAUGACGGUACCCGCAGAAGAAGCCCCGGCUAACUUCGUGCCAGCAGCCGCGGUAAUACGAAGGGGGCUAGCGUUGCUCGGAAUUACUGGGCGUAAAGGGAGCGUAGGCGGAUCGUUUAGUCAGGGGUGAAAUCCCGGGGCUCAACCUCGGAACUGCCUUUGAUACUGGCGAUCUUGAGUAUGGGAGAGGUGUGUGGAACUCCGAGUGUAGAGGUGAAAUUCGUAGAUAUUCGGAAGAACACCAGUGGCGAAGGCGACACACUGGCCCAUUACUGACGCUGAGCUCGAAA